rnacentral:lncRNA from 1 species
AUAAGGUUCAUCUCAAAUCGUAGCACAAAAUAAUUUAACCGAGCAUAAUGUUGAAAUUAAACAAAGAAAGGAUAAAAGAUAUCACCAAAACUCGACAAAACGUGAUUAAUAUACGUAUCAAAAUUUCAUCACAAUUCUGUCAACUCCUCUCCUUCCUGCCGACAGCAUGCAUAUGUGUGUGUAUCCCAGCCACCACUUUAUAUUUUGGUUUCAAUUCAAUUCCAACCAACUUUUCUCUUUUCCUGUGCGUGAGACCUUUUUGGCAGCAGCUCUCUUUUUUUUUCUUCUUUUCGUCCCCUCCUUCCUGUGUUUGCCUGUUUGCAUUGGUAUAUAUAAUUGUUAAACCCUCAACUCCAUUCUCCAAUAAUGAGGCCCAAUUUCUAUUCCAUUACAAUUGGUCUUAGACCCAAUUAAAUGUAGUUUAUUUUCCAAGGCUUCUCUUCAUGGAAUUAAGGUACUUUAGUCCUCGAAUUGAUUUAAUAGUGCUACUCAUGUCCUUUUUUAGUUCAAUUCAAGCCCUUCAAUUUGCAAAGUGUGGGAUAUUGUCUACAAACUUUCAUCCAACGGCCAAUUUGUCCUUCUUCUCUUUUCAAUUGCUUCAAACGAGUCUGUAACUAAAAACAACAGAAAACUAACCCAAGUUAAGUAAAAACUAAUAAUUUGACGACAUAAAAGCCUAGUUAUGUAGUUCGAAUAAGUGCACAA